UACGGAGGAUCCAAGCGUUAUCCGGAAUCAUUGGGUUUAAAGGGUCCGUAGGCGGCUUUAUAAGUCAGUGGUGAAAUCCGGCAGCUCAACUGUCGAACUGCCAUUGAUACUGUAGGGCUUGAAUUAUUGUGAAGUAACUAGAAUAUGUAGUGUAGCGGUGAAAUGCUUAGAUAUUACAUGGAAUACCAAUUGCGAAGGCAGGUUACUAACAUUACAUUGACGCUGAUGGCCGAAAGCGUGGGGAGCGAACAGG
rnacentral:rRNA from 1 species